UUGCAUCUAAAUGGCCUAGAAAAAGAAACCAUGUAGAAAAACAUUGCUGACAUCAAUUUGCUUCUGUGACCAGCCAACUGAAAUGGCAAGAUUAGAAUUGUUCUAAUUGUGAUGAGCUUAAUGAUGGGACUAUAGGCCUCAGCAGAAUCUAACCCAGCUUGUUGAAUAAAUCAUUUUACAAAGUUGCUUGCCUUGUACCACUCAACAUUGCCAUUGACUUUUCUUUUACUCCGAAAUAUUCAUCUGCAUCCUACAACAUUCAUAAAGGGUUGAGAGGGAACGUGUCCAAGUGCCAUUUUUUAAGGGCCAUUGAGCUCGCAACCAUAGCAUCAUCCUGGACAACAUGCUUAAUUGUAGAGGAAAUAUAACAUGUAGUUUCAUCAGAGGAAGAAUCAAUUAAAAUUGUUAAGGCAUGUGGUAAUGGGUAUUCAAUAGUGCCAUUUGUGAUGUGAUGUUGGGAACAAGUCGUCAUGUUGUGAGUGAGAGGUUGAGGUCGUGGUUAAGGAGAUGGAUCAUGAAAAGGAUUGGAGGUCAUGUGAGAGCACUCUAUGGCAAAAAUAAUAGGUACAGAAAGAACAAAUGGGAGGGGAGGCUCAAUAGGAGGAGCUAGUGUGGGAGAAGAUGUAGGGAGUGUAAUGGUCAAAGAACAAGACAUAUUGAAGUUUGAAAUAGAAGUGGAUGAGGACUGAGUUCUAUUUGUUUGAAAAGGGAAAACAGGUUUAUUGAAAAUUACAUGUCAAGCAACAUAAUCACAGCCAGAUACAAGUCAAGACACAUAUCCAAUAUGGUUUAUUGUACCUAAGGAAAACAUGACUUGGAUUUAAAGGAUUAUUUGUUGUAAGGUUUAAGAUAGGGCUAACAUCCACUGCAAAGGUCUUUAGGAAUGUCAUGUAGUCAAGUGGUUUUUGGAAAAGAAAUUGAUACUUGUGUUUGUUUAGAUUAAAUGACAGCAUAUUAAUAAUAAAAAAAAGCAGUAUCAAAUGCAUCAUCCCAGUGCUAAAGUUAUUAACAAUGCAAAGAAAUAAUCUUUUAUUAUUGAAAGAUAGAAGAGGGGCAGUACCCCAUACAUCAAGAAAAAGAAGGUCCAGUGGACCUUUGGACAUAGAUGGUGAUAUAUUAAAAUGAGGAUGAUGUAGUUCACCUGGGUGACAAAAGGAACUAAUUGAGGGAGUGUUAUUGUUGAACUCUGGAAGUUUGAAAGAGGACAACACCGGAAGAACGAUGUUGAAUGCAGGAUGACUUAAACGAUGAUGCCAUUGUGAGAUAGAAACACGUUCAGCAACACAAGCAACACUAGAAAAGUUUGAGGAUAAAGGCUAAGGGUAGAGAGCACAUUUUAUUGGGCCUUACAACAGUAAAUUCCUUAUGUGAAAGUUCUUGACAAUAAGAAAAGAUGGAUAAAACGCAAUGACUGUGUGGUUUUAGCUAGUAAAUUGAUUAGUUGAAAUAAUUUUUUUUUUGAACGAGGCACAUGUAAUAUAUUGCACAAAAAAGGUUCAGGAUGUAGAGGGAAGAUGAGUUGAACCAAAUAAAUAAUGUCCAAACAUUGACCAUUUCCAACUUGUAUUUGAUUUGGAGCAUGGCAUUUUUCAGCUUGCACAUUAGUUUGGCUAAGUCAUUUUUUAGGUGAUUGGUGGAACCAAUGUUAGGGUAUCAAUUGAGAUCAGGUGUUUGAGAUUAAACAGUAUAGUAGGCAGAUGGAGGUUGAUUCUAACAUUGGAAGCCGUGGU